GGAAGGAGAAGUCGUAACAAGGUUUCCGUAGGUGAGCCUGCGGAAGGACCAUUG
rnacentral:rRNA from 1 species